UUUAAAUUAAUGAUUGGUGUCGCAGUUCACGAAUUCGCUAACAACUUUUAUCCCUGUCCUAUUUCGGCGAUUUCUGCUAUUAAUCACGGUACAUGUUGCACGGUCAUUUGCCGCCAAUGAGACUUGCCCACAGGCAAAAUUUCAACGAAACAAUCAUUAUGAAGAGUUCAUGUUUAGAAUGUGUUCUGAACACGUUUUUACGCCUUCACAAGUACCUGAACCACAAUGUAAGUCAGUCGAUGUAGCGAUAAUUCAAAAUAUCAGUGAUAACAGAACUGGAAAAGUUGUCACGUCGGCUUUACACCAUCUUCGACAGAAGUAAGCACGAGAUGCGAGAGCCUUCUGUUGCAUGCCGUGAGCCACAGCCACAGCCCCAGCAUCAAGAGCGGCCUCCCACAAAAAGAAGGAAUGGCACAACAGACGUCAUUGUGGAGGCUACCAGGACAUGAAGGCUGUGGCUGAUAUGGCCGGAACUCUGCCCCAGCCUGUCCGAGGAGACCAAUACAGUGCCCUUGCCACCCACAUCGCAGCUGAACUGCGUGAGAUGGAUAAUGUGGGUAGUAAGAUAUUUACAACUGCCGGAAGUCACGGUUUGCAGUGGUAUCUGAUGGACAGGUGGGAUUUGCUGCAUUUGACAACACAAGAAGCACGACCAUCCACCUCUGGGUGUAUCCAGGCUGCCUUGCAGCAGGCUGGUAUAGAAGAGAAUACCGUAUAAUUUUUUUGUAGCUCUCCAAUCUUCUUAAUUUAUUUUUGUACUCAGGAUGCCUCAUGUUGUAAAACACCUAAUCGGCCUCAUACAUCUCUAUUAAUUUUGUAGUUUCGGACACCAAUUGGUACAUGCUGUGUUAAUAAAAUAAAAUGAAAUAAAAAUUGAUCUUAAUGAACA